UGAGCCUGCGGCGCAUUAGCUAGUUGGUAGGGUAAAGGCCUACCAAGGCAACGAUGCGUAGCCGAACUGAGAGGUUGAUCGGCCACAUUGGGACUGAGACACGGCCCAAACUCCUACGGGAGACAGCAGUUAGGAAUAUUCGUCAAUGGGGGAAACCCUGAACGAGCAAUGCCGCGUGAAUGAUGACGGUCCUUUGGAUUGUAAAAUUCUGUUGUUGAGGAAGAACGUCUUGUAUAGGAAAUGAUACAGGAGUGACGGUACUCUUCAAGAAAGCUCCGGCUAACUACGUGCCAGCAGCCGCGGUAAUACGCAGGGAGCAAGCGUUAUCCGAAUUUAUUGGGUGUAAAGCGUGUGUAGGCGGUUUAAUAAGUCUAAGGUUUAAGUCCGAAGCUUAACUUCGGUUCGCCUUAGAAACUGUUUUACUUGAAUGCGGUAGAGGCAAGUGGAAUUUCUAGUGUAGCGGUAAAAUGCUUAGAU
rnacentral:rRNA from 1 species